rnacentral:rRNA from 1 species
GUGAGUCAUCGAAUCUUUGAACGCAUCUUGCGCUCCUUGGUAUUCCGAGGAGCAUGCCUGUUUGAGUGUCAUCAAGUUCUCAACCAUACCUCGGUGUGGCUUGGAUUUGGGGGUUUUUGCAGGCUUCAAAGAAAGUCGGCUCCCCUGAAAAGCAUUAGCGGUGUCCGAGUACCUUUGGUGUGAUAACUAUCUAUGCCUUGGUGUAUACGAUGCAUGCUGCUUCUGAACUUCAUUUUUAUUGACAAAUUUGACCUCAAAUCAGGUAGGAUUACCCGCUGAACUUAAGCAUAUCAAUAAGCGGAGG